rnacentral:rRNA from 1 species
GUGGGGAAUCUUGCGCAAUGGGCGAAAGCCUGACGCAGCCAUGCCGCGUGAAUGAUGAAGGUCUUAGGAUUGUAAAAUUCUUUCACCGGGGACGAUAAUGACGGUACCCGGAGAAGAAGCUCCGGCUAACUUCGUGCCAGCAGCCGCGGUAAUACGAAGGGGGCUAGCGUUGCUCGGAAUUACUGGGCGUAAAGGGCGCGUAGGCGGACAGCUUAGUCAGAGGUGAAAGCCCAGGGCUCAACCUUGGAAUUGCCUUUGAUACUGGCUGUCUUGAGUUUGGGAGAGGUGAGUGGAACUCCGAGUGUAGAGGUGAAAUUCGUAGAUAUUCGGAAGAACACCAGUGGCGAAGGCGACUCACUGGCCCAAUACUGACGCUGAGGCGCGAAAGCGUGGGGAGCAAACAGGAUUAGAACCCUGGUAGUCC